rnacentral:rRNA from 1 species
UUGACUCUGGGAUAAGCCUGGGAAACUGGGUUCUAAUACCGGAUACGAACCAAUCUCCGCAUGGGGUCGUUCGGUGGAAAGCGUUAUGGAGUGGUUUUUAGAUGGGCUCACGGCCUAUCAGCUUGUUGGUGAGGUAAUGGCUUACCAAGGCGACGACGGGUAGCCGGCCUGAGAGGGUGACCGGCCACACUGGGACUGAGACACGGCCCAGACUCCUACGGGAGGCAGCAGUGGGGAAUAUUGCACAAUGGGCGCAAGCCUGAUGCAGCGACGCCGCGUGAGGGAUGACGGCCUUCGGGUUUGUAAACCUCUGUUAGCAUCGAAGAAGCGAAAGUGACGGUAGGUGCAGAGAAAGCGCCGGCUAACUACGUGCCAGCAGCCGCGGUAAUACGUAGGGCGCGAGCGUUGUCCGGAAUUAUUGGGCGUAAAGAGCUUGUAGGCGGUUGGUCGCGUCUGCUGUGAAAGGCUGGGGCUUAACCCUGGUUUUGCAGUGGGUACGGGCUAACUAGAGUGCAGUAGGGGAGACUGGAAUUCCUGGUGUAGCGGUGGAAUGCGCAGAUAUCAGGAGGAACACCGAUGGCGAAGGCAGGUCUCUGGGCUGUAACUGACGCUGAGAAGCGAAAGCAUGGGGAGCGAACAGGAUUAGAUACCCUGGUAGUCCAUGCCGUAAACGUUGGGCACUAGGUGUGGGGGACAUUCCACGUUUUCCGCGCCGUAGCUAACGCAUUAAGUGCCCCGCCUGGGGAGUACGGCCGCAAGGCUAAAACUCAAAGAAAUUGACGGGGGCCCGCACAAGCGGCGGAGCAUGCGGAUUAAUUCGAUGCAACGCGAAGAACCUUACCAAGGCUUGACAUAUACUGGACUGCGUCAGAGAUGGCGUUUCCCUUCGGGGCUGGUAUACAGGUGGUGCAUGGUUGUCGUCAGCUCGUGUCGUGAGAUGUUGGGUUAAGUCCCGCAACGAGCGCAACCCUCGUUCUAUGUUGCCAGCACGUGAUGGUGGGGACUCAUAGGAGACUGCCGGGGUCAACUCGGAGGAAGGUGGGGAUGACGUCAAAUCAUCAUGCCCCUUAUGUCUUGGGCUUCACGCAUGCUACAAUGGCCGGUACAGGGGGUUGCGAUACUGUGAGGCGGAGCUAAUCCCUAAAAGCCGGUCUCAGUUCGGAUUGGGGUCUGCAACUCGACCCCAUGAAGUCGGAGUCGCUAGUAAUCGCAGAUCAGCAACGCUGCGGUGAAUACGUUCCCGGGCCUUGUACACACCGCCCUUCAAG